GGAGGGUGCUAGCGUUGUUCGGAAUCACUGGGCGUAAAGCGCGUGUAGGCGGCCCAUUAAGUCUGAUGUGAAAGCCCGGGGCUCACCCCCGGAAGUGCAUUGGAAACUGAUGGGCUGGAGUCCCGGAGAGGAGGGUGGAAUUCCUGGUGUAGCGGUGAAAUGCGUAGAUAUCAGGAGGAACACCGGUGGCGAAGGCGGCCCUCUGGACGGUGACUGACGCUGAGACGCGAAAGCGUGGGGAGCAAACAGGAUUAGAUACCCUGGUAGUCCACGCCGUAAACGAUGGGCACUAGGUGUCGCGGGUAUUGACCCCUGCGGUGCCGACGCUAACGCAUUAAGUGCUCCGCCUGGGGACUACGGCCGCAAGGUUA
rnacentral:rRNA from 1 species